UCACCUCCAACAUAUAGGAGAUAUUUUUAUCUCACUUUUUCCAAUCAACCAAACAUAAAAAAUAAAAACAGAAAAACAAAUUUUCUUUUCCUUUUCAUACAUUCCAAACAAUAAUAGCUGAAAAAUAACUUUUACUUUUCUUCUAACCAAACGUCACAAAUCAUAAAAUUAGUUUUCAGAAAAGUCUUUUUUUAAAAAAAUAAUUUUAAUUCAUAAUUUCACGUAGAACCAAACACAUUA
rnacentral:lncRNA from 1 species